CUCUCCGUCUCCCUCUCCCUCUCUCUCUCACCCUCCCCUCUCCCUCUCCAUUCUCAAUCUCUUUCUAGGGUUUUUUGUUCUUUUAUUUCUUCCUUUCUUUGGUCCAGCACAUCAAGGAGCAUUGUGCAACAUCAGGUGGUUUGCAGGCUAUACUAACAGAUCAGAAUAAGUUGCUUGUAGCUGUUGGGGGAGUGACAGCUCUUGCAGCUGGGAUUUACACAACUAGAACUACAAGUGCUUUAUGUCCUCUCAUUCUGGUGAACAUAGAAAGCUUAAGUGAACUAUAAGUUCUAAAAACCUUGAAUUGAUCUUUUUGAAUUUAUAUUUUUAUCGCUUCAUUUAUAUCCUGAGCGUAGAGGUUCAACUUGUAACUCCUCAAAACCCGCUUUGCUGUAAGACAUUAUGGUGCAUGAUUUUUCCUAGCAGGUUAAAUUGCGAGUUGUUAUACAAAGUUGGUUGGAUAUCUUGUAUUUUUAUAAAUGUUGUUAAUUGUUAGUUGGAUGAUGAAUGAUACUUGCAAUUGA